rnacentral:rRNA from 1 species
GUGGGGAAUUUUGGACAAUGGGCGCAAGCCUGAUCCAGCAAUGCCGCGUGCAGGAAGAAGGCCUUCGGGUUGUAAACUGCUUUUGUACGGAACGAAACGGUCCUGGCUAAUACCCGGGGCUAAUGACGGUACCGUAAGAAUAAGCACCGGCUAACUACGUGCCAGCAGCCGCGGUAAUACGUAGGGUGCGAGCGUUAAUCGGACUUACUGGGCGUAAAGCGUGCGCACGCGGUGCUGUAAGACAGGCGUGAAAUCCCCGGGCUCAACCUGGGAAUUGCGCUUGUGACUGCAGUGCUGGAGUGCGGCAGAGGGGGAUGGAAUUCCGCGUGUAGCAGGGAAAUGCGUAGAUAUGCGGAGGAGCACCGAUGGCGAAGGCAAUCCCCUGGGCCUGCACUGACGCUCAUGCACGAAAGCGUGGGGAGCAAACAGGAUUAGAUACCCCGGUAGUCC